rnacentral:misc_RNA from 1 species
AACGCACCUUGCGCCUCUUGGUAUUCCAAGGGGCAUGCCUGUUUGAGUGUCAUGAAAUCAUCAAUGAGGACCUUUCUUUUCGGAGAGAGGCUUUCUUGUUGGAAUGUGGAGUGUGCUGGCUUGUUCAGCUCCUCUGAAAUGCAUUAGCGAUGUGGUGUUCCACCUGCUUGAGCUUGCAUUGACAUUGAUAGUCAUUCAUGUCAGAGUAGUUCAUCUGUGGAAAGGUUCACUUGCUCCUAAUUGUGAUGGACUCUCUCCAUCCUUUGACCCAUAUAACCUCAAAUCAGGCAGGACUACCCGCUGAACUUAA